UCAUAACCUUUCAGAGUUAAUACUUCUUGUGCAUUCAUCGUUAAUCUCUCUAGGGUCUUAGUUAUGGCACUUUUUUUGUAAUACUCAGCCAAAAGUACUGGGUAAAAGUCAGGAAAAAAGGUGUAUGGGCCAGACAUAACAAUUAGGCGGGUAAAAAAGGACUGGCGCACGUUAAGGCGCUGUUCACUGGCGCACGUUAGCACGACGC
rnacentral:lncRNA from 1 species